GCAGUGGUCCGUGACGACAUUAGAGGGGCAGAAUGCUUCUUCUGCGUGGGACUCUUGUGGUCUUCUCUCUCUUCAGCUCUGUCAGUGGGUUUUUCAGCGAGUAUGGGCCAAAACCGACGACCCAGACCAAGGCAGGCUCCAAAGGAUGGGGCAUGCCCAACUUUGAAACAUUGAAAUCUAACUUUCCAUUUUUUGGUUUGGGAUCACGGCUUUUAUUCGGUGACACUAAAGGGUCUGCUACGACAAAGGUGAGCACAACUUUCCCAGAAGCAACCACACAAGACUAUACUCUGUCUUCGAAGGACUUGAGCCCAAAAUACCAGCCGACCACAACCUCGUUUGAGGAACUUCAAAGCAGCACUGUCCAGAUAGGCACCCUGCUGCCUUUAAAAUCAGCUAAACUGCCAAUAAUUAACUUACUCAGGAACAAACCACAAAUAGAUAGACCAGAACCUCCUAAACUUGAUCAAAGCUAUGAUCUGGAUCUCUGGCCCCCCAAUAAUGGCCAAAUCGCAGCGAAAACCCCACAAACGACGAUAUCUAAACCAGAAACACAAACAUACACUGUAUCCAUGGCUCAGGGUACCAGCACCACGCACACUACAACAUUGAGACUGAUGACGGAAACCAUGACCCCUUACAGUGACCAAACUGUGCCCACAGACACUCCGUCAACAACGUCAGAACUAACGACACAAGCAUACACUGUAUCCACUGCUCAGAAUACCAGCAUCAUGCAAACUAUAGCACUGAGACUGAUGACGGAAACCAUGAACCCUUACAGUGACCAAACCGUACCCAUAGACACUCAGGCAACAACGUCACAACUAACGAUACCUUCAUUUCAAACCACACAUUUUAUCACACCAGCAGAACCAGAAGUAUCUACCGAACCUUUGACCACUGUCAGCACUGGACAAAACACAUUGAGGACAACAAACAUGGCCUCGAAACCAGAAUGGACACCUUUUAAAACCACUGACAAGGCUCUGGAUGGAUUUACGUGGGUAGAGCAGACCACAGGCCCAUCAGAAGGGGGAAGAGUGCAAAGUGUUGGCCCAGAUCCUACUCCCUCCCUGCCAGCAGGAGGCUUUCCAUGGGAGGAAGGCGAUAAGGAAAUGGGGAAGAGUGCUGAUCUGACAACACAAGAGCAACACGAUGAACUGACAACAUCAGCUAGCGUGACGACUCUCAGGAACACAGGUAAUUAAAACUGAUGCAAUACACGCCUUUAUGUAAUCUACACU
rnacentral:lncRNA from 1 species